GAAUCCACCACCUUCCAUAUAUACAAAAAUCUUCAGUUACUCACGCUGAACCUACUGCACUUGAACGAACACAGAAGCAGUUUUGGAAGCAAGAUAUUUAAUAAAAAAACAGAAAAUGCAAAGACGGAGUAGCGGAGGUCGUCUCCAAACAGUUCCGGCAGUGAAACACACAGCUCGUCUCUGCAUCCUAUAGCGCAUCUUCCUUUCUCGCCAAUGAUUGUGAAUCAGCUCGUCUCCGGCUGUUGUUGCUGCCUAAAAAAGCAGAAAAUGCAAAGUGGAGCUCAUCUCCAAACAAUUCUGGCAGUGAAACAAACAGCGAAGCAUACACCCCCUCCGUGGCUGCUGUUGUUGCCCAAACCGCCAUCCAAGCGCCGCCACCACCACCACCUCCAGCACUACGCGUCGGUCCCAUUUCUGUUGAGACUAAAUCCACCAUCCCUGUAUUAUAGAACGAAGAGGGGAAGGGGCGGACGAAGAUGCCAGCCGGUGCUAGAGAAACAGGCGGUGAGAUGCGAAUUCCGGAGAUGCCAUCCCUAUAUUUUUUGGCUUGAUUGUUUGAUUGGUUUCAAGUUCUUUAAUGGCGACGGAAGAUACUAAGAGUUAGAGUAGCAGAGCACUGGAUUCACCGCCUACUCACCCUCGUUAACAAAGGCAGAAGCUUGAGGUUUAUAACGAGGUACUUCGUAGGCUCAGAGAAUCGAAGAGUGAGGAGGCAAAUGCUCCUAAUUUUGAAGAUGAACUUUGGAACCAUUUCAACCGACUACCCACUAGGUACCGUAACCCUAGUUGUUUUUGUUUACUCUCUUCUUGUUUUUAUUCCACUUUCUGCUUCACUAGUGUUCUUAUUUUAUUGAUUUUGUUGAGACUAUCUUGAAACGCGAAGAGACUAAAUCCACCAUUCCUGUUGAGACUAAAUCCACCAGCCGGUGUCGGAGAUGCCAGUGCAGGUUCCAGUGCAUCAGAGCCGGUGCUAGAGGGAACGGUGAGAUAUUCCAUUAAGGUAAGGGGAAUAUUAGUCAAUUAUGAAAAGGAAUAGCAUUAGUCAAUUUUUAAACAGAGUACACUUAGUUAAUUAGCUAAACCAUAAGGAUAGUUUAAAAAAUUUAUCCCUAAUACAUUUAUCAAAAAUUCUGAAAAUACCCUUCCCACCUCCAUUCCUAAAACCCCUACAUCUACAACUGCAAGUGCUGCAAGGGAGGUGGCUAUGGCACUGUCGACAGCAAACAUCCUUGCUCCUCUCUGCCUUUCAUGCUUGGCUGCUGUCCCCCUUCUCUGCCAUCUCCACCAUAAUGUCUUCGAAAGGAUCCAUUGCUUUGCAGGUUGGACAGCCUUCGGUCUCCUCUAGACCUUCGUCAUCCUCACCUUCUACUAAAUAGAAUCUAAAAUUUACAACCUACGCAGCUCUAAAUUGGUAAACAAGCAAGAAUUCUGAUUCACAUUAGCCAUCACACUUCUAAUUAUCGUUCCAUGGGUUACUAUGAGAUCAGUUCCAGUCAAGGUCUCGGCUCCUUUUGGCCAUUCCUUGAUUAUCAAGUUCCAGGGUGGAAUUUACGAGUGACUAAAACCCAGGCAAAGAUGCUGGAGACGGUUUCCGUCGUGCCGUGAAUGGUCGGAAGGAUGCUCUUGCACUGCAAGUCCCUGGGGCGAUUCAAGCACAAUGGGGGACGCAUUAAGGCUAUGCUGGAAGAAGCAAAGAAUGAGCAAAAAUCUGGUCGUCGCCGUACAAGUGGUAUGAGCAAAAUUUGGUUGUCGCCUUACAAGGAGUCUUCUUCAAUGCCUACUUUCUGGGUUACUUGAUCUCUCCCAGAUUUGCUCACUGUGUGGUGGGGCACCUAGAAAUGGGGAUCGAAGGAGCUAACCAUCAUCCAUCAAAGCUUGGAAUUGCUUGAUCUGUCUUGAGUGGCGCUACCCAUUUUCUAUUUUCGCCAAAAUUUCUGUUAAAUGUAGUUAUUCAAGGACCCUUUUUUCUAAAAUAUUAGUUUUUCUGUCUCCCCUGUUUUCGAACGAUGGAAAAGAAGACCAUUAAAGAGAAAGAAAAUGAUGACAUAGAAGCUGACCCCAACCAAAAGAAAAAGAAAACAAGGGAGCAUUAAUAAAUGUAGGCCUCCUCAGACUCCUCCCCUCCCUCUCCCUACAAUUCAAAUCCCACCUUCGCUUUGCUUCUCUUUAAUUCAGAAAAAAAAAGCAGUUAGACCCAAUCUGAGCAGAGUCAAUCUUUUAACAUCUUUAUAGAAAAUUUGAAUUGUUGUUAUACCCAAUCGGAGCAUAGCCAACCUAAACACAAAAAUGCUGAUGGUGGCUAUGAAGAGAAGCGGAGAUGAUGGAGUGGAGCAAGGAAGGAGAAAAGGGGGGAGGGGAUGACGUCAGUGAACUAUGGAGUCGAUCUAGGAAUUGUUGCCGCUGUGUUGAGGAAGACGUGAAUGAACUAUGAUUGUAAUUUUUUUUAAUUAUUAAUGAAAAUCAUAUCAAAUUAGCUUGA